UGCUUAUCAGACAAAACACAACACCUUUGACUGAAGUGAAGGGGCUCCUGUUGGGAUCAUGGAAAUUAUGUUGGUGUUAUUGAAGCAAUUUGUAGACUGUGUAGAGAAAAACUAUUUGGAAAUAACAGUAUUGAGCAUGUUGAGGAGGAGAACACUAUUGAGACAAAUACAAAGAACAAGAUUGCAGAAGCUGAAAUACUACCUCCUUAAAG